rnacentral:snoRNA from 1 species
AGUCUCCUACUGCCUACCAGAGUCUGUAUUCUUACACUGACUGUUUAGAAAGAGGAGGCAAAACAAACCUCAGCCUGGGCCACUGUGCCUGGUCUGUAUUGUGAAUGGGAAGACAUAG